rnacentral:ncRNA from 2 species
AAAAUAGUCACAAAUUCCUGUGUUAGUCUCACCCCGUUAAGUAAAAAGGUUAUUGGUUCGGAAAAGGGUUCAAAUCCUUUACAGUCUCUUGUACUGCAUGAUGGAUGACGCUACGACAAUCACUGGGUAACUGGGAAGAUGUAGGCUGUCAGUCGAAAUCAAGUCAGGAUAUGAACAAUAGCUUAAUAACAAAG